UAUGUCCUACGGGGCGCAGCAGUAGGGAAUCUUCCACAAUGGACGAAAGUCUGAUGGAGCAACGCCGCGUGAGUGAAGAAGGGUUUCGGCUCGUAAAGCUCUGUUGGUAGUGAAGAAAGAUAGAGGGAGUAACUGGCCUUUAUUUUACGGUAAUUACUUAGAAAGUCACGGCUAACUACGUGCCAGCAGCCCCGGGAAUACGUAGGUGGCCAGCGUUGUCCGGAUUUAUUGGGCGUAAAGCGAG
rnacentral:rRNA from 1 species